GGCCUUGACAUACUAAGAACUUUCCAGAGAUGGAUUGGUGCCUUCGGGAACUUAGAUACAGGUGCUGCAUGGCUGUCGUCAGCUCGUGUCGUGAGAUGUUGGGUUAAGUCCGCAACGAGCGCAACCCUUUUCCUUAUUUGCCAGCGGGUCAUGCCGGGAACUUUAAGGAUACUGCCAGUGACAAACUGGAGGAAGGCGGGGACGACGUCAAGUCAUCAUGGCCCUUACGGCCAGGGCUACACACGUGCUACAAUGGUCGGUACAAAGGGUUGCUACCUCGCGAGAGGAUGCUAAUCUCAAAAAGCCGAUCGUAGUCCGGAUCGCAGUCUGCAACUCGACUGCGUGAAGUCGGAAUCGCUAGUAAUCGCGGAUCAGAAUGCCGCGGUGAAUACGUUCCCGGGCCUUGUACACACCGCCCGUCACACCACGGGAGUUUGUUGCACCAGAAGUAGGUAGUCUAACCGCAAGGAGGACGCUUACCACGGUGUGGCCGAUGACUGGGGUGAAGUCGUAACAAGGUAGGCGUAGAUGA
rnacentral:rRNA from 1 species